UCGAUGGCGGCUAUGAUAUCAUUUAGUACAUUGAGCGUGGCUGAGCUGUACCCGUGACCAGCUCGGAAACCGGAUUGCACAGCGGAGAAGAACCUGAGCCCUAGGACCAUACGUCAGGACUACCGGGCAUGAUGACUCCUUGCUGUCCCCAGUCCGCCUGGCUUUGCUGCUAUUCCAUUUUCAACUGUUCUGCCUACGGUUACGGAACCCCUACCUGUCCCAGACCUGCUGUUUUCAACUCUUAAUGAUCGGCUAUGAAAAGCCAACAGAUUUAUUCCUGGUUAUUAUUUGACCAUGCUUGUCAUUUAUGAACAUUUUGAAAAUCUUGGCUCUCUCUAAUUUUCUCCUUCUCUCUUUCUUUCUCUCGGAGGACCUGAGCCCUAGGACCAUACGUCGGGACUGCCGGGCGUGGUGGCUCCUUGCUGUCCCCAGUCCGCCUGGCCUUGCUCCUAUUCCAGUUUCAACUGUUCUGCCUGAGGUUAUGGAACCGCCACCUGUCCCAGACCUGUUGUUUUUCAACUCUUAAUGAUCGGCUAUGAAAAGCCAACUGAAAAUUAUUCAUGAUUAUUAUUUGACCAUGCUUGUCACUUAUGAACAAUUUUGAACAUCUUGGCAUAGUUCUGUUAUAAUCUCCACCCGGCACAGCCAGAAGAGGACUGGCCACCCCUCAUAGCCUGGUUCCUCUCUAGGUUUCUUCCUAGGUUUUGGCCUUUCUAGGGAGUUUUUCCUAGCCACCGUGCUUCUUCACCUGCAUUCUAGCUGUUUGGGGUUUUAGGCUGGGUCUCUGUACAGCACUUCGAGAUAUUAGCUGAUGUACGAAGGGCUAUAUAAAAUAAACUUGAUUGAUUGAUUGAUUGAAGGUCCAAAACAUUGCCAAGGACUCCAGCCACCCUAGUCAUAGACUGUUCUCUCUGCUACCGCACAGCAAGCGAUACCGGAGCGCCAAGUCUAGGUCAAAAAGGCUUAACAGCUUCUACCCCCAAGCCAUAAGACUCUUGAAGAGUUAAUCAAAUGGCUACCCAGACUAUUUGCAUUGUCCCCACCCCCCCAUUUUUACACUGCUGCGACUCUCUGUUUAUUAUCCAUUCAUAGUCACUUUACCUCUACCUACAUGUACAUAUUACCUAAAUUACCUUGACUAACCUGUUCCCCCGCACAUUGACUCUGUACCGGAACCCCCUGUAUAUAGCCUCGCUACUGUUAUUUUAUUGUUGCUCCUUAAUUAUUAGUUAUAUUUUUUUCAUUUUUUUCUGAACUGCAUUGUAGGUUAUGGGCUUGUAAGUAAGCAUUUCACUGUAAGGUCUACACCUGUUGUAUUCGGGGCAUGCAACAAAGAUUUGAUUUGAUUUGAAGCCCAAGCCAUGCACUAUAGGCCUACUCCAUUUCAAAGUAGAUCUAGGUAAUUUGUCAAUUCAUCUGAUAUUGGGGAAAUAUAUUUGGUCAAUGUGCUUUCUUUGUGUUGUCUGAAGUAGAAGAUGGCAUAGGUUUAUUAUUACAGUCUUCCUGACAUAUCUGACACAACCGAUUGCCUGCGGUAGGAUAGACAGGAUGACCCUUUUCUUUCCCCCUGACACAUGAUUGCGUACAGGGUUCGGAUUACAGGGGGGCUAGAGGGGGCAUCAAAACAGGGCCCCCAUGAGAAUUGAAAUAUCAAUACGGCCCCCCUCAAAGAUAUUGACAUCUGGCACCCAUAAGACACGUUAGGCACCCCAAGAGUCACUGUGAUUCAAACCAUGAGUUGAUCUGCCAAUGCCAGUCAAAUAAUCCUACAGACAGACAGCAGUACUACUGUACAUGGCCUUUAUCACAGCUCCGCUGUCUAUGUAAAUCACUGUAAUAAAAACACUUCUUUAUCAAUCACAAGUGCGAACUUA